CACUGGGAACAAUGCAUCAUGUCUAGAUUCAGUGAAGGAGCCAGAUCUCAAAUACUGUAAUGACUAUUCCCAAGUCUGCAAACAAGGGUUUUGCACAGGCUCCUUGUGUCUAAAGGUUGGAACACCAGAAAAUGGGACAUCUCCAGGUGUUUGGGAGGAAUGCUUUGUUACACUGCCUGGUGACCUGACAGUACAACAAAAGGAGCAGCUGUGUUAUUUAGCCUGUAAGAAGAAUGACUCUGAUGCUGUAUGCUAUGCCACAAACCAGAACCUGGACAGUUCUAAUGCCCUGUAUGCUCUCCUACAAGAUGUCAACCAGCGGAAACAGUCCAGCGGCGGAAUCAAACUAACAGCCGGUUCCCCCUGUAACAAUUACCAAGGUUACUGUGAUGUGUUUUCUCGUUGCCGUGGCUUUGUUAAUGAAGGACCACUUCACCGACUGAAGAACUUGAUAUUUAACGAAAAA